rnacentral:sRNA from 1 species
AACUUUUUAAAACCAUCAUUUUCCCAAGAUUUGGUAUUCCAAGGGUAGUGAUAAGCGAUGGGGGCUCACAUUUUAUCAACAAGGUUUUUGAGAACCUUUUGAGGAAGAAUGGGGUUAAGCACAAUGUAGCUACUCCUUAUCACCCCAGACUAGUGGACAAGUCGAGGUUAGUAACAAGCAGAACAAAGCUAUCCUACUUAAAGUUGUGGGGAUAUCAAGGCGAGAUUGGCCAACUAAGCUCGAUGACACCCUUUGGGCCUAUAGGACAGCAUUUAAAACUCCAAUAGGGAGAACCCCUUUUCAGCUUCUUUACGGUAAGUGCUGUCAUCUCCCUGUUGAAGUAGAAUAUAGAGCCAUGUGGGCAACUAAGCUUCUAAAUCUUGACAUAGGGACAACACAAAAAAAGAGGUCUCUAGAUCUUCAUGAGCUUGAAGAGAUAAGGUUAGAAUCAUAUGAGAGCUCCAAGAUCUACCAAGAAAGGACCAAAGCUUUUCAUGACAAGAAGAUUCUGCAUAAAGAUUUUAAAGCUGGUGAUCAAGUGUUACUAUUCAACUCAAGGUUCAAGCUUUUUCCGGGGAAACUCAAAUCAAGAUGGUCAGGCCCUUUCACUAUUAAAGAGGUACUUCCCUUUAGUGCAGUUGAAAUAGUUUCAAGAGAGGGUUAUGAGUUUAAAGUGAAUGGGCAAAGAUUCAAGAAGUACCUAGUGGACAGCAUCAUUCCCGAAGGUGAUAAGUGUGUAUUUUGCAAGUUUUGAGCAUCCAUUUGUCAUCACUUUAGCAUCAUAUCAUCACUGUUUUAUACCAUUUCUCAUCAUUUAUCAUCACUUUACAUGUUUAGGAUAGAUUUGCAUGCAUGUUGCAUAUUUGUGUUGAUUUCAGGUGAUUUGAAGCUGUUGAUGAGCUAUCUGGAAGAAGCGGACCUGAUCAUGACAAAACCACUCGACCCAGAGGUCGAGUAGGAGCUUCAAGAUCUCAAGAGACCACUCGACCCCCAGGUCGAGUAGAAGACAUCACAACUUCACCUCACCACUCGACCACGAGGUCGAGCGUCUUCAUCUCUAUCACCUGACCAUCACUCGAUCGCAUCACUCGACCCCUAGGUCGAGUGUCUUCACUUUCAUUGCCAGACCACUACUCGACCUCACCACUCUACCUGGAAGUCGAGUAUCUCCUGACCAGCACUCGAUCGCAUCACUCGACCCCGAGGUCGAGUGUCUUCACCUUCAUUGCCAGACCACUACUCGACCUCACCACUCUACCUGGAAGUCGAGUAUCACCAUCACCACCACUCGACUGCAUACUCGAUGACAAGCUUCAGAGCCUUCUUCAUUCCACACUCAACCAGACACUCGAGCACAAGGAAGAAAAGAAGACUCAAGCUAUUCACUCGACCUCCCACUCAACCACAUGGGUCGAGUACAGUUCUUAAUCCGUCCCAAUAUUGCGUCGUUUUAAGUAUUAGGGUUUCGGGAUAUUCAGUAUUCAGUAUUUAGUUUCUGUUCUUGAUUUCGUUUACUGUUGUUCAUUCUGUUAUCAUCCUGCUGUUACACUGUUGUUAUCAUGUUUUCAACUUGUUCAACGUUUAUGCUUUCUGUUAUCAUGUCUGAGUAGUGAAUAGGUUUCUGAGGAUGGGUUAGAGUAGUGUAGAAUUCUCAGUAUGCUAGGUGAUUGAUUAUUGGUUGAUAGAUCCCUUUUGGAUUAGUUGUUCUUAAUGUCUAUUGCUUUCUGAUCAACUGGAAUUUGAGCCCAGACAUUUCCGCGCCCAAAAGGUGUUCGAUGAAAUGUCUGAACCACUAAUUCCAUAGAUUCGUGGCCCUGUACCAAGGUAUUGGUUGCAGGGAACGUUUUGGCUUUAACUUGUUGAUUCGUAAUGCCUGUUAGGUUAGCUCUCGUCAAUGGUGAUUGAGUCUGGGACUAGGUUAACUUGAGAGUCUCUGUUGCGGUGGCACUUAGAUUUGGUUAAUGAACUUGUUGUCUAGGGUUAAUUUAUUGAGCAUGUCAAUCACCUGUAAACUGAGGAAACAAAACUACUCAAUUACCCCAUCCUCGUGAAUUCUUUAUGUGAUUGAUUUCUUUGUUACGCUACUGUUGUUUACUGCAUCUUGUCAUCUGUUGCUUAGUUUCUACAAUUCUUUCCUGUUACUCGACCUGAUACUCGACCACCCAGUUGUCUAGCAACAGACUGUGCAGUCGAGUAUCUGUUUUAUUUUCUGACUGUUACUCGACCUGUCACUCGACCUCACCCAGUGCUCUACAAAGAGCUGUGUUGGUCGAGUGUUUUACUGUUUCUGCUUGAAUUUCUGUUUUCUGCAUGUUCACUUAGAACUGCUAGAACACACCACAACCUGUUAUUGCUUGGCUUGACUUAGUGACUUCUGAUCACAUCUUGAUUGUUAGCAUCACACCCAUUUGGAUUGACAACCUAAAAUACUACAACGAUAUGAUUAGUGUUUUAGGAUAAUUGACUAAAAACCUAUUAUCAAUUUGGCGUCGUUGCCAAUUGGGUGUUUGUUUGUUAUAUUUGAGAUUUCAGACUUGCUUAGAUCAAGUUCUUUUUCAAUUUUCAAAUCGGUUGCUAAUUGUGUGUUUUUCUUGUUAUCUUCUUGAUCCAGGUACACCUCUGCUGUAUGCGAACUCGAUCAACAGGCAAUCAGAACCUCCUUUUCAACGACAACAUCAACCGCAUAGCUCGCGAACUCAGAAAAAGGAGAACCUUAGUCAACCUUGUACAUCAGCAACCACUCGAAAUGCCUGAAGAACAGAAUCAACAAAAUGGCCGUGCCAACAUUGGUGUCGGAGAUGCACCACGUGAUCACCGCCAGAGGAAAGGAAUUGCACCUCCUGCUAUCCAGAACAACAACUUCGACAUUAAGAGUGAUCUCAUCUCGAUGAUUCAGGGGAACAAAUUCCAUGGUCUGCCAAUGGAGGAUCCACUCGACCACCUUGAUGAAUUUGAUAGGCUCUGCAACCUAACAAAGAUCAAUAGUGUCAGUGAAGACGGAUUCAAGCUCUGUUUGUUCUCAUUCUCCUUGGGCGACAAAGCACACAUUUGGGAGAAGAAUCUGCCCCAUGACUCAAUCACCACCUGGGAUGAUUGCAAGAAGUCUUUUCUAUCAAAGUUCUUUUCCAAUGCCAGAACUGCAAGACUUAGAAAUGAGAUUUCUGGUUUCUCACAGAAGACUGGUGAAAGCUUCUGUGAAGCAUGGGAGCGUUUCAAGGGUUACACCAACCAAUGCUCUCAUCAUGGCUUUACUAAAGCCUCUCUGCUCAGCACUCUUUACAGAGGAGUCCUACCACGCAUCAGAAUGCUUCUAGAUACCGCCAGCAAUGAGAAUUUCCAGAACAAGGAUGUUGAAGAAGGCUUUGAAUUGGUUGAGAACCUUGCUCAAUAAGAUGGCAAUUACAACGAGGACUGUGAUAGGACCGUCAGAGGAACAUCUGACUCUGAUGACAAACACAGGAAGGAGAUCAAAGCGCUGAAUGACAAGCUCGACAGGAUUCUUCUUAGCCAGCAGAAGCAUGUGCACUUCCUUGUUGAUGACGAGCAGUAUCAAGUCCAAGAUGGGGAGGGUAACCAGUUGGAAGAAGUCAGCUACAUCAACAACAACCAGAGUGGCUACAAAGGGUAUAACAACUUCAAAACCAACAACCCCAACCUCUCCUACUGCAGCACCAACGUUGCUAAUCCUCAGGAUCAAGUGUAUCCUCCACAACAACAACAAGGUCAGAACAAACCUUUUGUUCCCUACAAUCAAGGUUUCGUUCCUAAGCAGCAAUUCCAGGGGAACUACCAGCAACCACCACCACUUGGGUUUGCACCUCAGCAAAACCAAGGUCCUGCUGCUCCUGAUGCUGAAAUGAAACAGAUGGUCCAACAGCUGCUACAGGGACAAGCAUCUAGCUCAAUGGAAAUUGCUAAGAAAUUAUCUGAAUUGCACCAUAAGCUGGACUGCAGCUACAAUGACCUGAAUGCCAAAGUAGAGGCAUUGAAUACCAAAGUCAGAUACUUGGAAGGCCAAUCAGCAUCUACCUCUGCACCAAAAGUUACAGGACUUCUAGGAAAGUCCAUACAGAAUCCAAAGGAGUAUGCAACUGCUCACGCCAUCACCAUCUGCCAUGACCGAGAGCUGCCAACUCGACAUGUCCCUGAUUUCAUCACUGGGGACAGUGAUGUUCAAGAUGGGGAGGCUUCUACUCAGGUUGACAUCUCUGUUGUUGAAUUCAACCAUUCUGCUGGUUCUCGUCAUCUCACUCAAUCCACCUAGGAAGAGAAGGCCGCCAUAAUCGAGAGAAUGGUAAAACGAUUCAAACCUACUCCAUUACCCUCACGUGCUCUUCCGUGGACAUUCAGGAAAGCGUGGAUGGAGAGAUACAAGUCUAUUGCAGCGAAGCAGCUAGACGAGAUUGAAGAAGUGAUGCCACUGAUGGAAGUUCUCAACCUGAUUCCCGAUCCUCACAAAGAUGUGAAAAAUUUGAUAGUGGAAAGAAUCAAGAUGUAUCACGAUUCAGAUGAUGAAAGUGAUGCCACUCCGUCUCGAGCUGCUGAUAAGAGGAUUGUUCAAGAGAAGUUAGAAGAUCCUGGAUCUUUCACUCUACCAUGUUCCAUUGGGGAAUUUGCUUUCAGCGAUUGUCUGUGCGAUCUCGGAGCCUCUGUCAGCUUGAUGCCACUCUCUGUGGCAAGAAGGUUAGAGUUCAUUCAGUAUAAACCUUGUGACCUGACUUUGAUCCUUGCGGAUAGGUCUUCUAGAAAACCCUUCGGCAUGCUGAAAGACCUACCAGUCAUGAUUAGUGGAGUAGAAGUGCCUACAGACUUCGUGGUGCUGGAUAUGGAAGUAGAGCAUAAGGAUCCCUUAAUACUGGGAAGACCUUUCUUAGCUUCAGUGGGAGCAGUGAUAGAUGUCAGGGAAGGGAAAAUAGGUCUCAACCUUGGAAAGUACAUCAAGUUGCAGUUUAACAUCAACAGAACUCCACAAGAGUCAACAGAAGAUGGAAGAACCUCUGGAAAUGAUAGAGUGAUCUCAAGAGAAGAAUAUGAGACUGAAAGAGUUGAAGAACUUAAAAAGAGGUCUGAAAGGCAAGAUGAAACUCUAGAGAAGGUAGCCCACACUGUUGAGGAACUUAGAAGUAAGCUGAAUCAGUUGCAGAAGGAAACUCAACCUAAAUGCGGGAUUGACACUAUCCCGAGAAAGAAGUUCACUUCAAGAUGGUCUGAAGAGAUAGAUUACCCUCUAGAAGAGAAAGAAGCAUAUUUUGAAGAGAGGGGAAUUGAGUAUUCUGCUGCAGACCUCUCCAGGGAGGACGCUGAGUAUGAUGAUGGUAUCAGAGAGGAUUAUGCAGACCCUCUCUACAGUUCAUUUUCUUCUUGAUGAGUGUGAGGAGUCAAGCUAGAGACUUUAAACAAGCUCACUUGGGAGAAAGUCCCAUGAAUAUCCUUGUAAAUAAUUUUUUGUUAUUUCUGAUUUGUUUUAGUUGUGUUUGUAGUUCUCAGAAAAAAAAAACAAAGGGAGAAGUAACGUGAAAGUAGAGUAAAAAUUUUAAAUCAUUGUUUUACUCGACCAACAGAAGCUAUAGAGUCUUCCAGGGAGUUUAUCGAGUUUAUAGAAGAUUGUGGGAUUUCCUGGAGGUUUUCUAGUGAACAAAGAAGAGACAAGAAUACAUUGUGGGAUCCGCCGCUGACGCCCAUGUCCUCCAUGCAACAGACCAACGGACAAGCAAUCCCCCCCCCAUCUCUUCUCCUCCACUCGACGUCUGCCACAUCACUCGACCUCCAUCCCUCUCUACUCGACCUUAUCACUUCGUCAUCUCCUCCAUCCCCAUUAAACUCGACCUCCACCUCUCAUCCAAACUCAACCAAACUUUCAUCACUUUACUCUCAACGACUCCACCUCUCCAUCUCUCUUCCUCAAGCACUCGACCGCUUCUCUAUCGCCUCUUCACCACCGUCUCGAGCUACCACUCGACCUCUUCACCACUUGAUCAAGCAGCCGUUUCUCCUCUCCAAGGAAAACACUCGACCGCCGCUUCUCUCAUCUCUCCAGUCACAACAUCGUCCACCACUCGACCUUGUCUCCCGCUUCACCAUCUCCACAUCAGCUCUUGUUCUUCGUUUACUCGACCACUACACAUCAUUCCCUUCCUCACAACUCCACUAGACUUCACCGAAUCCACUCAUUCAAACUCCACUCUUCACGCGACGAGCACCUCCGCUUCUCCCCCUCUGAUCCAAUCACUCGAAUCACCGCCACCUCUCACGAACUCGACCUUGCCUAAUCACUCGACCUCCUACAAUCCGCCUCUUACCACGCCGCUUCUCACCAUCCACUCACUCGAAGAAUCGUCUCUCACCUCUUCCUUCGUAGUCGUUUCACUCGACUUCGCCGCAAGAACAGCUCCGCCUCUCAAGCUCAUCAAACACUCGACCUCUGCCAUCCAUUCGCCUUCAACAAUACUCGAUCAAAAGUCACUCGACCAUCACAGAUAUCACUCGACCACCGCCUAACUCUAACCACGAAACUAGCUUCGCUCGACCGAACAAAACCACUCGACCAAACCGAAAAAAAAAAAUAAGAA